rnacentral:rRNA from 1 species
CCUACGGGAGGCAGCAGUGAGGAAUAUUGGUCAAUGGCCGGAAGGCUGAACCAGCCAUGCCGCGUGAAGGUCAGUGCCCUAUGGGCGUUAAACUUCUUUUGUGUGGGAGCAAUAAUGGUCACGUGUGGCCAGACGAGAGUACCGUACGAAUAAGCAUCGGCUAACUCCGUGCCAGCAGCCGCGGUAAUACGGGGGAUGCAAGCGUUAUCCGGAUUUAUUGGGUUUAAAGGGUGCGUAGGCUGUGAGGUAAGUCAGCGGUGAAAUGCCCCCGCUCAACGGGGUGAAAUGCCAUUGAUACUGCCUGGCUGGAAUGCGGAUGCCGUGGGAGGAAUGUGUGGUGUAGCGGUGAAAUGCAUAGAUAUCACACAGAACACCGAUUGCGAAGGCAUCUCACGAAUCCGCGAUUGACGCUGAUGCACGAAAGCGUGGGUAUCAAACAGGAUUAGAUACCCUGGUAGUC